CCUACGGGUGGCAGCAGUGGGGGAUAUUGCACAAUGGGGGAAACCCUGAUGCAGCGACGCCGCGUGGGCGAAGAAGUAUUUCGGUAUGUAAAGCCCUAUCAGCAGGGAAGAAGAAAUGACGGUACAUGAGUAAGAACCACCGGCUAAUUACGUGCCAGCAGCUGCGGUAAUACGUAUGGUGCAAGCGUUAUCCGGAUUGACUGGGUGUAAAGGGAGCGCAGGCGGCACGGCAAGCCUGAUGUGAAAGCCCGCGGCCCAACCGCGGGACUGCAUUGGGUACUACCGGGCUGGAGUGCCGGAGAGGUAGGCGGAAUUCCUAGUGUAGCGGUGAAAUGCGUAGAUAUUAGGAGGAACACCAGUGGCGAAGGCGGCCUGCUGGACGGUGACUGACGCUGAGGCUCGAAAGCGUGGGGAGCAAACAGGAUUAGAUACCCUUGUAGUC
rnacentral:rRNA from 1 species